rnacentral:rRNA from 1 species
UACAGAGGGCGCGAGCGUUUGUCCGGAUUUACUGGGCGUAAAGAGCGCGCAGGCGGUCGUACAAGUCGCGUGUGAAAGCCCCCGGCUCAACUGGGGAGGGUCACGCGAUACUGUUCGACUCGAAGGCAGGAGAGGGAAGUGGAAUUCCCGGUGUAGUGGUGAAAUGCGUAGAUAUCGGGAGGAACACCAGUGGCGAAGGCGACUUCCUGGCCUGUUCUUGACGCUGAGGCGCGAAAGCUAGGGUAGCAAACGGG